CAGCAGGGCCCAGUGUGGCCUUUCGGCUUCCUUUGGCAGCUCUCGAGGUCUCGGGGCACCAACCGGGGUCUGUCAGGUCAUGCCUGCAGCCCUAGACCACCCCACAGGGACCCAUGCCUCCCACCUGAGAGGACAGCCCUCUUCCUGGAGCUGGGAUCUGUCACUGGCUGGUACCAACAGCAGAUAUCAGUUUGCAGAAGACCCUUGGACCCAUCCCCUGAUCUACAGAGCUGCCCUGAGAGCAACGGGAUAAUAUUUCAUCCUAAAGAGGCAUCAAGUUUUAUUUACCCAUCCGCUACUGCCGGACAUUUGAGGUUACCUCCGAUUUUGGAGUUACACGCCGAACAUCAAAGCCCCCUGCCCUUCACCGUCAGCGGACAGAUUCUCCCCUCAUCCCGCAUCUAAGUCACACAGCAAAGAUGAUUUCCGUUUUCCACUGCCCCGCCCUGUGCCCCUGUGCGUUGCUUUCUAUGGCUUUCCCUUGCAGAAUGAUCCAGAGCUGAUGGCCCUCGGGGCCAGCCAACACUCCCCUUGGGUCGCAUCCCACCUAGAUCCGAAGCCAGCUCGGAGGCCGAGGCCCCGCAAGCCUCUCUGCGGGCUUCAAAGCGGGGACAAUGCUUUAGCCCCACGUUUAGUGGAAUUUCAGAAAUACUCCGGGAUGCAUCCCUAGGAAGGCAGUCUCUCUGGGCGGGCUAAGUGAGCCGAGCCCCUUCCCCGGGGCUCCCGCGGCCCCUCCGAGCGCUUCCCACACAUGGAUACGCCAGGCCUCGGUUUAGGAGCUUAGUCAAGAGGUCACUCACCUCCCAGGGGCCAUUCUGGAGAAGCCCUUUAGGGUCUUGGGGGCUAGGAAACACACAGAGGGCCAUCCCAUGCUCCCCCAAACUUAACGGUGGUCCCACCACGCCCAGUCUUCCCCUAAGCCCCAGCUACAGACCCC